AGCAAUUGCAGCAGCUGUGGUACAGGACCCGGGGAUUUUCAGCUGAAGUCUAAAUGCAGUUGACAACUGUAUGAAUCUCAGAGCCAGGAUGCUUCAAGCACCAUAGAUCUAAAAAAGACAUUGAUUUGCUCUCCUCCAGCCUCUCUUAUCUCCUACUUAUGAAAAUAUCUGGUGAAUAGUACAUCAUCUGCUUGCUCCACAGCCUAAGUGCCUCAGAGAAGCCACUCAGGUGUGAGAGCCUUGUUUAGCAGCCUCUCACUGCUUCCUGCUCCCAUUUGUUUUCAAACCUGGAACAGAGGAUGGAACCUGCCCCACAACGAUGUCACCCAGGAAGAUGCCGUCCAGCACGAGCUCCACACCCUGGGAAAAGCAACUCAGCCUGAAAAAUCCUCUUGAUGAAUCCUAAAAGACAGCUGCAGUGUAAGGCUGCCUUCCAGAGCUGUCACCAGAAAAGUGUUCAAAAGAAGAGGAGUAAGAAACACAUUUGCCAAGUUCAUAAAACUGUGACCUUGAGACAAAGGUCACCAAAGCAUCGCUGGCUUUCGGAGGGUCGUGGCACGAGGGGACAACCACAGUGACCUGGAAAGGCACCUUUGAUGACAUCAGACGUUUCAAGGAGAGAUUUACUGGUAACAGGGGGUUAGAGCACUCAGAGAGUGUUUGCAAUGCUUGGAUUCUCUUUUGCUUUCCCAGAGCCUCUGAGGGCAGUGAAGCACAGGGAGUUAGAGGUGUUCUGCACCCACGUUGGUGCCUCAGUGCCCCCCAGCCCUGCAGGGACUCAGGGCUGGCUCUCCACACGUCCUGCACCCACAGAAUUUGCAGGCUGCCUGUCCCUUUUGCUCUCCUCCUCCAUCAAAUCCCUCUGCCUGCAUGCAGGAAAAUCACUCCAGGGACUUUGAUCAGAUUGUUCCUGUGAAGGAGACAGGUGAGAAGGAACCCCCCUCCCGCAAAGGCAGUCUUUUUAUCCUCUUUUUUGUGUAGGUGCUCUGGUGCCUACAGUGCUGCUGGAAGUCUAUGGGCCAACACCAACACGUGUGUAAAGUUUCAUUGUCACCAGAGCAGAGGUGUGGAUAGAGAAUAUUUUCUUCACACAUUUAACAUUCAGGUUUCUUUUAUUCCUUUUUUUUCUCCCCACUCUUCGUGCGAUGCCAGCAGCUCAGAAAGCUGCAGCCUGCAGCCUUAGGUGUGCAUUAGCUUCCAUUUGAUUGCUGUACAGCAACUCUUCUUAUCUUUGAAAAUUAACCAUUUCAUAAGCAGAGAGGAGGUGUCUCACAGCGUGAGCGUAAUGCACCAGGCAUUGCACCAAAGACUGCAGAGUGCACCACUCUUUCAGUCAAUGCUGGGGCUUUGACACCUAAAAAAAAAGUAUAUUCGAAUUCCAGCCCUGUCAGAUGUACAAAACAAUUAUGCAAAACUGUCUUUAAGAAGAUAUUAUUCUUAAGACUUUGUAUUUUAUUUUAUUUUAUUUUUGUGACAAGCAAUAUUUCACAAAAAUCCUCACCUUUUCUUGCUUAUAUAAUUCAGUGCCACUUACAGUAAAUUAUAUUUGGGUGGUUUCAUUAUCACAUCUAUGUAAAUUCUUCCAAUAAAGUAUCCUCAGACUUUAAGAUGCAAAACAAUUUUGUUAAGAUAGAGUAGAAUAUAAAACAAAGGAAAAUAAGCAAGGUGGAUUCUUUUUCUGCAUUGACUGCAUGGAUGUUAAUGAGAGUCAUCUCCAUGUACAGGUCUAGCAUCUGGUUGCUAUAUUUAUUUUAAUUGUGUGGGGGUUUUUUUGUUUUUUUUUUUUUUCAGGGAGAAAUCCAAAUCCCAUAUGUGCUUUCUUAUGACACAAACCCCUGAAAAAUCAGAAUAAAUCUAUAGAUGUAACAUCCGUGUGCUUUUUAAUUGCUCUCUUCUCACUAACUAAAUAUUGUGGGAUGUUUCAGGGUGAGAUAUG